rnacentral:rRNA from 1 species
UACGAGAGGCCCAAGCGUUAUUCGGAUUUACUGGGCUUAAAGAGUUCGUAGGCGGUGCGGUAAGUUGGGUGUGAAAGCCCUCGGCUCAACCGAGGAACUGCGCUCCAAACUACCACACUCGAGGGAGAUAGAGGUGAGCAGAACUGAUGGUGGAGCGGUGAAAUGCGUUGAUAUCAUCAGGAAUACCGGAGGCGAAGGCGGCUCACUGGGUCUCUUCUGACGCUGAGGAACGAAAGCUAGGGGAGCAAACGGG